GUUAAUUUCUUGUAUUGAUCAGCGGUAGUUUGAGAAUUUCAGUAUAAAUAUUUUAUUAGAAAAAUAAUUAAAAUUGAAAUAACUCAUAAAUAUAUGCCAUAUCACAAAAAUUAAUAUGUUAAAAAAUGUCUUAUGGGGUUUUGUUAGUGUUCCGUGUACUACUAACUUACGACAGUUUAAGAUGAAUACAUAUCAAUAUACUAUAACGACUUCUAAAGAUAUUAAAAAGCUAAGACCAUUUAAAAAUCUAAAAGAUCAAAAUUAAGGUCAAAGUACUUUUGACCUAAAAGAGGGACGAAAGAAACCAGAGGGACAGUCAACAUUCUGGUUUUAUUAUCUAGGGUGAUAGUACAAUCAAUAUUUUUUAUUUACUAUUUGGUCUCUUACAGUUUGAAAUUAUAAAUGCUAACAUGAUCUGAUGUCAUAUUUUUAAAAGGUCUGAGAGACAUGGUUAUCACAAAUGACAGAGGUAUAUAAGCAUUAGAUUGGAAAUUGAAAUUGUUUUACUGCAUUUGUAAAAUAUCAAACGUCCUUGUUAUUUCCAAGUGAUUCAUGCAAUCAUGAUAAUUAUUAUUAAUAACAUAUCGUCAAAAUCAUCUUAAAGUUAAAAGUAUUGUUAAAUUCAUUUUGACUUCUAACCAUUUUAUCCUAAACAAGGGAAAAUGAAACAUGUAUUCAGCCUUAAGAAUCGUACAGUCAUCAACAUUGCCAAAGUUAGAUGAGUAACAUUGCGUGAAGUUAGUACAUUGAAUAUUUUUCGGACAUCAGAAUAUCUAAUCGUCACAUUUACCAGUUGGAUUUUGGAUAUGGUCGAACUAUAUAUGAUUACUUUAUAUUUUUUGUGUUCUAAAUUGUCGUAUAAUAAAACGUUUAAAAAUAAAAAGUAGAGCAGUCAUAAGUAAAAUAACAACAAUACCGAACUCCAAGAGUCUUAGAAUACUUUUAAGAUGAAUUUGAAGAAGGUUUUAGAAUAUCUUUAUACUACAGCAUUUUCUGUUCAUUUCAUUAAUAUGUUAAGUAAAUAUUGUUGUAGAUGCUGGUUUGAAAAUGCACUUGGUAUGCAAAUAGAUAAUAUAGAAUGAAAAUCAUGAACAUUUAUUGACGCCAUAUUUCUUUUGCUUUUAUUUCAACAACAUAUUAUGAAUAUGCAUAUUUU
rnacentral:lncRNA from 1 species